rnacentral:rRNA from 1 species
ACGUAGGGGGCAAGCGUUGCUCGGAAUUACUGGGCGUAAAGGGUGUGUAGGUGGCUGAUUAAGUUAAGGAUGAAAUCCCGAGGCUCAACUUCGGAACUGUCCUUGAUACUGGUCAGCUUGAGGCUAGUAAAGGAGAGCGGAAUUCCCGGUGGAGCUGUGAAAUGCGUAGAUAUCUGGAGGAACACCAGAGGCGGAGGCGGCACACUAGUUUAGUUCUGACUCUGAGACACGAAAGCUAGGGGAGCAAAAGG